rnacentral:rRNA from 1 species
CUGAAGGGGAGCGCCAUGCGCACCCAGAACCCUUUGUGAACUUAUACCUUUUGUUGCCUCGGCGCAUGCUGGCCUCUAGUAGGCCCCUCACCCCGGUGAGGAGAAGGCACGCCGGCGGCCAAGUUAACUCUUGUUUUUACACUGAAACUCUGAGAAAAAACACAAAUGAAUCAAACUUUCAACAACGGAUCUCUUGGUUCUGGCAUCGAUGAAGAACGCAGCGAAAUGCGAUAAGUAAUGUGAAUUGCAGAAUUCAGUGAAUCAUCGAAUCUUUGAACGCACAUUGCGCCCUCUGGUAUUCCGGAGGGCAUGCCUGUUCGAGCGUCAUUUCACCCUCAAGCAUUGCUUGGUGUUGGGGCACUGCCUGUAAAGGCAGGCCCUGAAAUCUAGUGGCGAGCUCGCCAGACCCGAGCGCAUAGUUAACCCUCGCUCUGGAGGCCUGGCGGUCCCUGCCGUUAACCCCACUUUUGAAAUUUGACCUCGAUCAGUAGGAAUACCCGCUGACUUAGCAUCAUAAGGGCGAGAGAA